UGCCAUUUUCCAAGUGACCACAAUUCUUUGUGGCCAUGCUGAAAUAAGGUGGCUCCCACAGCCCAGGAACAGUGAGGGAUGAUGUGGCUUGCCUUCCUUCCCCAACGUGAGGUCCAGAACUCUAGAGAUCUUCAAAAGAUCAGAGCCUGGAUAGCUCAAAGACAGAGCACUGUAAUUUAACACCAGCUGUCUGCAAUUAAAGUAAGAUCGAAUCUCGCCAGGCUCAAGGUUGACUCAGCCUUCCAUCCUUUCUAAGUCAUAACCUGAAGACUUUGUCAGCCAAACCAGGAAGUCUACGUAGACCUCAUGAACAAGAAGCCUGCUUUGGGUUCAGCCCUCCUUUCUCCAGACUGCAUUUCUCUGCUGCAGUCUAAUAGGAUCAACAAUAUAUUGUUUUGCCCCUGUGUCAUCACACUCAAAAGCAUCUGAAAGUACUACAAAUGAAUAGAAGUGUUUCAGAACUCUAAACCGCCUAUUGAUUCAUUACAGCCCUUCCAUCUGAAUAAAACUGAUUUUUUUCUCUCCUCGA